GUUUUCGUGGCCUAGUGGUUAGGGCGUCUGUCUUACAUCGACUGAAUGAUCACAGAAGAUCGCCGGUUCAAUCCCGGCCGGAAACA